AAUUGGCAAAUGAUGGUUGGUGGCUAUAGCAACGAGUCGUAAUAAUUCGGCUGCCCUGCUGUCUAAAAUCAGUUGACACGUGCACGUCAGGGCGAUUGAGUGACGACAGCCUUCCUAAUAUUUUGUCAUCUUAAAGCGACAGGCGAGUCCUGAAAAGCACCAGCUCCCGAAGCCAAGUAUCUGCAUCCUAUUUACAAGAACCUCUUCACUAUAAGCAGCUUCUCUAAGGAGCCUACGCCUGAGCUUGUAUCGAUGGCAACGGGGGAUUCCCAAGACGACGUGCAGUACGUACGGACUCUCAGUAAGCAGAGCACCGCCAAAAAUGUCACAACUGAAGAAAACAACAAUUGCCCUGAAGAAAAAGACCUGCAAACGAUCUUUGAAAACUUGACUACAGCUGACGAAACAGAAAUGGAAGAAGAUGUGUCAGUAUUGUUGAAAUUUCGUCCUGUCGAUGCCCUAUUUUCCGAUCUCACUUUUCAACUCGUUGGUUCCAUGGAUGCGAAUUGGAUGUAUUGGACGACAGAUCUCAUCGAAAGUAACGGAGGUCGCGUAGUGUCAAACGGCGCCAAAUACAAGGUUACUACACCCGUCGUCCAUGCCGAAUUGCUCCCAGACGAUCCAGUUGGGCAAGCUGUUGCGAUCAACACAUUUUGGAUCGAGGACUGCAUCGAUGAGGAUUGUCUAGUGGAAAUUGAAAUCUAUCAUCAACCAAUCAAAUUCCAGAACAGCCAAAUAUUUGCAGGAUGUGUGGUGUCGUUCAGUGGGAUUCAAGGUCGACUGAGAGAUUUCCUUAAGUACUUGGUCGAUCAUCUUGGAGGCAAACAACAAGAGUUCUUCUCUCGCAAAAUGGUCGAAGCUAAAGACGUUUACCCUUCCACACAUCUUGUAUGCCCCGAAGCUGAAGGAAGGAAAUAUGAAAAAGCCAUCAAGUGGGGAGUCCCUGUCGUUAACGCUGAAUGGAUUAUUGCAUCCGCCACUUCUAGUACUCGACUGAAGGAAACAGAUUUCGGGAUCUUUCGACCACCUGGUGAUCAAACACUCUCAGCUCCUGUUUCAUUUUCGUCAAUUACUUUUGAUGCCCCCACGCCUGUUCAAAUGGGGCAACCAACGAUUCCUGUGAUACUCCCUGUCCUGACUGACUCGGCUUCAGAGGGCUUUUUACUGCAGACUUCUCAUGGUACAAAAUCUUUCGGUAUAUCCCCCACACCUCGACCAGCUCUUAGUAAUAUGCGUACACCCGACACUCCAUACGGACGAUUAUUAAAUCCGGAUCCAUCACCAAAUACUCGAAAACUGUGGAAACAUGCAUUGGAUAACCGCGUCCGUUUGACGCCCAGACCAGAAGAUUCACCGACCACUACGUCUCCAAUCAAGAGUGAAAGAGAAACUUUGGUUUCCCUCGCCGAGGAUUAUUUUGCAAAUCUAACUGAAAAAUUGUUAAACUGCAAUUGGGAGGAUCCAGAUGAAGUGACAAAUGCAGAAGCUUCGCCUUUGCCGGAUCCGAAUCUUCCUCCGUUACACGCGGCGAGGAUUUUUAUUGGCCAGGAGAUCGAAGAAGACAGACGACUCGAGAUGGAGGAAUUCAUCACAACUCUGGGCGGUCAAGUUAUUCUCCAGCACUCCCAGGAAGUAACUCAUUUCAUAUGUCAGGGCGAGUUGACCCCUUCCGAAGAUAUGCAGAAUGCCAGAAAAUGGAAUCAACUGUUCGUCUUGCCUCAGUGGAUCGUAGACUGCGAAUAUGCUGGAAGUCGUUUGCGUGCUGCAACUUGCUAUCAACCGUCCCUAAAUUUUGAAACAGUUUUAUUACCAGAUGUUGCGCCCGUCUCUUCCGGUCCCCUGGAAACAACACCUGAACUGCAAAGCCUUCCCAACAGUCUAGCUGAAGAAGAAAAACCCUUGCAGGCCGAGCAAGUUCUCCCUCGUCCAACUCAGGAGAUUUCCUUGCCAAACGAUCCAGUAGCUAGCCAGUUGGAAAAUGUUCCUGUACGUUUGGCACCACCACCGUGUUCACCAGAUGCAGUUAGCCGGAUUUCACAAAGGCCAAAUGCAUCGAAGAGACUAAACGAGUCGAAGAGGCUAAAUGCUUCACGGUACAGUGGCCAUUCUUUCCGGAUCAUGUUCUCUGGUAUGUCACAAGAAGAUCGUGACAGCUGUGUUCAAAUAAUCGAAGUGCUAGGCGGGAUUGCCAUCGAUGGCAAACAUUACGAUUCAACAUGCACUCACCUUGUAGUUGCCAAACUUGAGUGUAACGACAAGCUGAUGACAUCUAUCGCUGCAGGAAAAUGGAUUGUUCAUCCUGGAUGGAUCGCAAAGAGCGAGCAAACUUAUCACUUUGUCGAUGAGCGAAUAUUCGAGUGGGGCAAUCCUACGUCCAAUGAUUCCAUUUCCAAAGAGGAAGCCAGGAUUUCCGCCGCUGCUUAUUACUGGCGCACUAUUCGAAACCGUGGCCUUUCUACCGGCCCUUUCCAAGGCAUUAAGGCCGUACUUUACCUCCGCAAGAAGAACGAUGCCUUCCAGCAGUUAAUUGAAGCCGGCGGAGGAGAAGUGAUUGCUCCCGAAUUGGCUUUGGAGAAUGGAAAGACCAACCUCUGUGUCCUGGAUAGUCGUGAAAUCAACAAAAUUAAACUUCGUUUAUACGCCAGUAAAGGUAUCUAUUGCGUCCCACCCAAUUACCUCAGGGACUUGAUCCUCGCCAAAGACAAUAAGUGCCAGUGGGCGGAAUGUGUUUUGCCAGAAUUUCUCCCCUUUUUAGACACCAUUCCUUCAACCCACAUUUAGUUAUUCUAUUGUCGUUAUCUGUUCCUAUAGCUGAUUUAUCUCGAUAUAGUGUCUUAACUUCUUCUUUAACAUCAGCAAGAAUUAUUGAACCAGGUUGCGGUUUUUGAUUGGGUUACAAAAGACUUUUAACGAAUGUUUGUCGAGAGAAUUGCAUGCUGUUUGUUUUUUUAAGAAAAGAAAGUGAUGGGAACAAUUAUGUAGAUUCUCAAAAUAAUCCUCCGCGAGGGAAUCCGAAAUUUCUCUUUCAUUCUUGAUUGGUGACGUAGUGGUCGGUGAGUCAUCGGUUCUGGGCGUCAAACGGACGCAAAUCCAAUGCAUGUUUCCACAGUUUUCGAGCCGUUUGUAUUUUUUGUUCGGUUGCAGAGUAGUGAUGGAGUACGGUAGCUUGUGAUUUUCUUUUCAUUUUCAAAGAAUGGCUUGUGCUAUAUAGUUGUUAAUUCUACGUAGAAUGUUUAUAUGAUGUUUAUUUCUUUUACGGUGACAAAUUACUUUCUGUCAAAUUUGCAUGAGAAAUGAGUUUUACAUCCCAUAAUCCCCUAUCACACUGCCAGGAAAGAAAUUUGGGUAAUGGAUUAUUUACCGUAACGGCGUAUUGGGAAACACGCAACCCAAGGAGCUGCGACUCGAUUAGCAUUUAUUUAUGUUUUUGCAGCAUCUGAUUAUUAGUUGGGCAAAGGAUUAUUUUACAUAAUAGUGAAAACCAAAUCCAUUUUACCUUCCAGUUCCAGGUUUCUUUUGCAAUUUGAAUUCUAAAUAAAGCAAUCUAUACCCGUUGGCAAAUUCCCAAUUUAUCAGGCAUUUCUUUGUUUACGAUUCUAUCAUAAUUAUCGCAGUUGGUCUUCACUAUGGUCAACUAGAAGGAUUUAUUCAUUAAAAUGGUGUCACUUUGUUUAAAAAUUGGUUCAGAAACAGGCAUUGCUACUAUAUUACCUUACAUUAAAUUAUUUAAAUUACGUUUAUUCUCGCCCAAAUGUGCCUAAUGAUUAAGAAUCGCGAUAUGCAUCAGUAAACUUGUAAGAAUACCGCAAAAAGAAAGAUAAUGAGUAAAUAACUGGAACAAGUUCAACAUUUCUCGCCAUAAUCCUAUUCCACCAGUGGACAAGGUCUAUGGCACAACGUUGAGAGAUUAAACUGAAAGGAUUAUUAAACUGUCAAUUUAAAAAAAAUUAAAGAUUGCAGUGACAGCAAGAAAUACCCAAAUGUAUCAAUUUUAACCCAUAGAUAGAUAGGGUCACAGAAAGGAAGAGAGCUCAGGCGAGUACUUGAAAUGUAUCAUCCAGAAACAAAAACCUAAAGACAAAACCAAUGAAUUGUAGAUGCAGAAAAAUGUUAUUCAGUCUUGGUGUUGAAACGACAUCUCACCAUUAUCAAAAUUGGAAACGAUAGUCAAUUACAUGUAAUGACGACUCAAAGUUCUUAGUUUCACUUGAGAUUCACCAUCUACAAAACAUGCAUCUGGAAGACAAGAUAAGAAAAUUAGUAAGAUUUCUGUGAUAUUAAAAUUUGUGAUUCCAUUUCUACUACAGGCAUACUACAGUACAGCUGUAGGAUUGAUGAUAGCUUAGAAAUGAUAGCUAAGUGGCUUGCUUCAACAAUGGGCGUCAUUACGUGGCAAAUGAUGACAAAUGGACUGGUAAAUAUGCAUGAGAACAUUUAGUUAACAUACUUAUGGCAAUCCGUUUUAAGUCCGUUGGAAAAGAGAUUUUUGAUAGGCUGAUUCGAAUAUUAUUCAAAGAAAGCAUUGUUGGCGCCUCCGUUUGCCACCUGACGGUCAGUUAGUGAAUUGCUCAUCGGUUUAAUUGUCGCUAGGUGGACUAAAAUGAUGUCCACCAGGUGGCGGGAUUGUUUUCAGGGUGAGGACAGAUUACGAGCAAUAGUCGCAACUUGCGAGUGGUGGGUGCUUCAUGCCUUUUGCUUUUACGGCACGAAUUUUCGUCGAAAACCGCUUUACAGCAGCGUCGAUGGUCUUAUCCCACUUUAUCCUCCUUUAAGUUACAACUUACAGCUAAGAUCUUGAUAUUUGAAUAGUUAAUGAAACAUCCACGAUGCCACAAUUGAUUGGAGUGAAACCACUGUCCCAAACAUGUCUCAAUUUGAUAACAAAUAAGAUGGCUUCAAUGUGUGACAAGACAUCAAGCACCGCUAUAACUAGCAAUACAACAAACCAAAGUUAUUUUGAUCACUUACCUUCAAAGUUUUUGGAAGAAAUGAUCAGCACUCUCCAAACCAAAGGAUGUCUGAAACAAUUCCUUAGUUUGUUGGCAGCUCCACAACUUGGGACCUUAUAUCUGGAAGUUUUGUCAAAGGAAGAAUAUUCUGUUCAUUUCGUCAAUUCACUGAGAUGUGUAUACUUAAGAAACCUACAUCUCCGGUCAUCAGUUCAUAUUAAUGACAUCUUCUUGACUUCCAUCAUUCCUACAUUUGCAAAAUUACAAGUUCUGGUGAUUUCGAAUUCUUCAGCUGGGGACAAGAGCUUGAAAGUUAUAGGAACUUGUUGCAGAUAUUUGAGAGAACUGGAAAUUAUUGACUGCAAGAAUAUUACAGAUUUUGGAGUAGGAAUGCUGUGUGUUAAUAGUGCGCGCAAUCUAGGAAGGGAAGGUGAUGAAUUGGGACUGCAUAAAUCUCUUCUUAAAUUGAGUUCGUCUGGUACUAAAAUUACCAACACAGGAAUACGGUUGGGCUUGGAAACUUUCCAUAGUCUUAUAGUCUGGGAUAUGGUAACUGGAAAUUUCUUGGCGGAAAUUCACGAAGAAGAUUUCUUGAAUCCAUCCUCGGAGAUUCAGAACUUGUAUUCCCUGAUGCAUUUGGGAUUCACUUGCAAUUAUGACUACAUCCCUAAAACUUUUGGAUUGGUUUUGUCUCUGUGUCCCUUUGUGAUUGAGUUAGAAAUCGAUAUCGACGUAGGAAUGGACGAUAGUGAAAUGCUAAGUUUGUUAUCCCUGGUAAAACUCCGUGAACUGAAAUUGGGUGGAAAUUUUAUUCAUUCUAAUGUCACGUUUCAUGGUGGUGUGAUUCCAAUUUUAAAAAAAUUUGGAAAUUCAUCACUGAAGACACUUUCUCUGUCCGGAUCGAUUUAUCAUGUCAAUAUUCCGGUAAUCACACAGCUUUGCCCGAACCUUCAAUGCUUUCACCUCUUGGGGAUGCAGAUAUAUUCUGACGAAAAAUUCAAUGAAGAAGGAUUUAAGACUGAGUCUCAAAUAUUGAAGAAACUUGAAAAGCUGAUGAUUCAUGGGUUCAGCUAUAACAUCUCAGAACUGAAACUGUUUCCGCGCCAACAUUUAAUCUUGCUAUUGUCUGCGCCUCAACUUUUGGACAUAGCUAUCGUUUAUUGCUUUACGCUAACAGACGACGUUCUCCAAGAGGCAGCUCGACUUCAAAAGUUCCAUUAUCUCGAAAAUCUUGAACUUACAGAAUGCCACAAUGUGACUGAGAAAGGAAUUGAUAUCUUCAUGAAUGCUCAAAACACUCUUAAGAAGAUCACGUUACGUAUGUGUCGUCAAAUAACGAAGAGCAAUAUUGAAUGUUGGAAAAAGCAAGCUGAAAUGAACAAUUGGCAAAUAUUGAUCGAGUUCGAACAGUAUGAUGAUGAUGCUGAUGAUCAGUAGUGUGUAGUAGUUGAAGAUGUUGUAAAACUAAAUAUAUUUGUAAACUAAA
rnacentral:misc_RNA from 1 species